CGUCGCCUCGGCCUCCUUCGCUCCCGAUGCGAGUUACGACGGCCUCAGCCGACGCCUCCCUCGCUCGCCGUCCCUGUGUUCCCUCUCCUCACUUUAGUGAUGGCAUCUCGCGUUGUAAGGGAGGAGGAGCUCGAGGUAGGCGACUUGGGGAAGGGAAGAUCGUUGGGGGCAAUGGAUAUGGGGAAGGCCGAACGUGAUUCCUCCUUCCUUCUUUGACCGAAGUUAUUGAACCAAUUUCUUCUGUACUUCAAACGGUGUGGUGUUGGAGGUGGUUUUGUAUUUGUUCUUUGCAGAUCCGGCAAUUACUAUUGAUUUUGUGCAAAAUUUGGUAGAUCGAUCUGGUUAGCAGUUUUUUUAACACAACCAAUUGACUGGGUGGUACGAUGUGUUCUAUUAAUUGAUUUGGUCAAUCUGGUUAGCGCUUC